ACACGACUACAUUAGAUACCCCCGUAGUCCAGGGUGUAAACGCUGCGGGCUUGGUGUUGGGGGUCCUUAGUGGGCGCCCAGUGCCGGAGAGAAGUUGUUAAGCCUGCUGCUUGGGAGUAUGUCCGCAAGGAUGAAACUUAAAGGAAUUGGCGGGGGAGCACAACAACGGGUGGAGCUUGCGGUUUAAUUGGAUUCAACGCCGGAAAUCUUACCGGGACCGACAGCAACAUGAAGGCCAAGCUGAAGACUUUGCCGGAUUAGCUG
rnacentral:rRNA from 1 species